rnacentral:rRNA from 1 species
AACGAACGCUGGCGGCGUGGAUAAGACAUGCAAGUCGAACGGGAUCAUUGAGGUAGCAAUAUCGCGAUGGUCUAGUGGCGAACGGGUGCGUAACACGUGGAUACAUUCCGGGAAGCGAGGGAUAGCCCAGGGAAACUUGGAUUAAUACCGCAUGUGGUCGAAAGACUAAAGGCAGGGACCGCAAGGCCUGCCACUUCCCGAUUGGUCCGCGGCCUAUCAGCUAGUUGGCGGGGUAAAAGCCCACCAAGGCUACGACGGGUAGCUGGUCUUAGAGGACGACCAGCCACACUGGAACUGAGACACGGUCCAGACACCUACGGGUGGCAGCAGUCGAGAAUCUUUCACAAUGGGGGCAACCCUGAUGGAGCGACGCCGCGUGGAGGAUAAGGGUCUUCGGAUUGUAAACUCCUGUCAUGUGUGAACAAACCUGGUGGUUGAACAAACUACCAGCUGAUAGUAGCAGAAGAGGAAGGGACGGCUAAACUCUGUGCCAGCAGCCGCGGUAAU